CCUCGGGCGGCCAGUCGCGCGGCCGUUGUGCGUGUGUUCGCCCGUUUAUUUCACGCUCGGAAAGACACUUUUAUGUAGCGCGUAUUGAGCAACAGAAAGCUGUAUCGGGAGAUUUUUUUACGUUGGUCUACAAUUUUCUCAAGGUCACUUUUCUUCAUCUAAUUAUAAUAUUCGAGAAGUUGAAUAAUUAAUUAAGACAAACUAUACAAUUAGGUGGCACGCAAGAAAAAGUAAUAAUCUGAGUAUUUUCCAAGCGACGGCAAACAAGAUUACCUCGGUUCUUCCAGCCACGUGGCAUUUGUAUUUUUAAGGAAAUCUCGGUGCACGAUAGCUGGGACUCACCCUGUAUCAAUUCGGGCGGCUCAUCAAGCUGCCAUCAGAAACUUUCCUCCGUAAUUCGUGCGAAUAAGUUAAGCGAAACCAGCUCUGGAGCUGAAAUUCGAUACAGCGAUGCCCCUGCCCCCAGCUACGUCCGCAGCACUCGAAGGCGCCACGCCGUCUGGACGAUGCGCGUCCUAAAUGCGCGAUCGCGACGCGCGCGUGGCGCUGGUGUGCGCGUUUGAGGGUCAACCACGUGACAGCCGAACCCCAGAGGGGAUCCCGCGCGCCCCUUUCUCCCGCCGCCGCGCGCCCUUGCAGCGAGCACCGGGAGCCGCGCCGUUCCCGGUCAGUGGCGCGCUCCACCGGCGCGUGCGAGGGAGCAGUCGCGACUGUCCCGUCACGGAGCGCGGAGGUGCCGAUCCGCCCGUCGUCCGGCCAGUGGAAGAGGUGCCGCCGAGUUGGCAGCGGCUCUUCGAGAGGCCGGGCUGCGGCCCCUUCCGAGUGUGUCGACUUCUUGGACGCGACAUUCGCUGCCGCCGACUUUGACCCGCAAGUUCUUUUUUUUUUCCCACGUCCCAGACGGAAUUCUCUCACUUUGCACGACUGCUAAGACACGACGGAUGCCCACCUCGCAUCCGUCCUUCUGCUUUUGACGCACCGAUCCCUACGUAUCGCUUCCGAAGGACACGGAAGAUGCACCUGGUCGCCGAGCAAUCCUGGCGUGAGGAAGCUGUGCUGUGAAUGAAACUUUCGAUGAAAAAUUCCUCUUGCGAAGUGCCAAGAAAUAGCAAGAAAGUAAGUGCUGGAACACUUGAUACUUGAGCGCACCUUGCAGAAACAACCGAAGAUUCAUCGGAAGCCCUGUUCAUCAGCUGCCAGCCGCGCAACUGGCUGGGAAGUGACAUUACGCGGAUUAUUCGCAAUUAGAUAUUUACGCCGGAGCAUCUUGCUGCGCUAAUAGGUCAGAACAAUUUUUUUGAAUAGGACUUCUUUUUUUGGAAAACAUUGACAUAUGCCUACUUCCCACUGCUUCUGGCCUUGCGAAAUUGCAGACAGGAGAGACAUAAACAACGUGGGUAAUAGUCACCCUUAAUUUGCCUAAGCUGUCACUAGUCAUAGCUAUCAGUGUCCAGUUUUCUGUUUGAAGUAGUCACCCGGCAGUUGUGUUUAUCCCGAUUAUUACGCCUAAGCUGCUUUCAGUAUCUUAAUCAAUCGGGCACCUACAAUACUUCGGCCACUCGUCCUUCGUUCCCAGCCCGACGUAGUGCGGCGAUGUGUCGUCCAUCUGUUCACCGCAAGCUUUGGUUCUCGAAACUGAAUUCAAUCGGUGCUGCAUUCUCAUCUCUUUGCGUCGGAGGGCGCUUCAGUGCGAUGGAUCCCGCAUUCUGAUCACGAACACAACUGUCACUCCGGCAGAAGGAUGAAUUGUACCGAGUAGAUGAUCUCGAGGAAGUCAGGAACGUGACUGGAAACUCCGAGCUCAUUGCUAAGCGAAAAAAAAGAAAAGAGUCAGCAAUUUCAGAAGAAACGAGUCAGCAGGUGAUAAAGCGCUCUGGUUUUGUGGGACGGCUGGUGAAAGAUGCUGUCAACGGACACGAACUAACGGUGCGUGCCUGGACUUGACGAAAGCGCCGAACACUGAUUGCGGUGUCGGCCACUACGAGCGGCGUUGUUUUUAGCGCUGACGAAUGAAGUCGGUGCCGGAUUUGUUGUCUUGAACAGCAGUCUUCUUGAAGGAAGCGGGCGCCACGCGACUGCAAAAGAAAGAAAAAAAGUGACAGCCGCAACUGCACUGGAGUUAUGUGGUGGCGACGCCUGUCAGCUACCGAAUAUUCCAUCAGAUACUUCAACUGUCGUCACGUGACGUGUUUGGCAAGCGGCAACAUCUCGAGGCAUCGAUUACCUCCUGGAGAGCAGCACAACUGAAAAGG